GGUUUCCUGGCGCAAUGGUAGCGCGUUUGGCUUCGAUUACCGAAUGCCACCAAAGGUUGCAGGCUCGAGUCCUGCGGUGGUCG